AUACGUAGGGUGCAAGCGUUAAUCGGAAUUACUGGGCGUAAAGCGUGCGCAGGCGGUUCGCUAAGACAGAUGUGAAAUCCCCGGGCUUAACCUGGGAACUGCAUUUGUGACUGGCGGGCUAGAGUAUGGCAGAGGGGGGUAGAAUUCCACGUGUAGCAGUGAAAUGCGUGGAGAUGUGGAGGAAUACCGAUGGCGAAGGCAGCCCCCUGGGCCAAUACUGACGCUCAUGCACGAAAGCGUGGGGAGCAAACAGGAUUAGAUACCCUGGUAGUCCACGCCCUAAACGAUGUCAACUAGUUGUUGGGUCUUCAUUGACUUAGUCACGUAGCUAACGCGUGAAGUUGACCGCCUGGGGAGUACGGUCGCAAGAUUAAA
rnacentral:rRNA from 1 species